rnacentral:rRNA from 1 species
UACAGAGGUCUCAAGCGUUUGUUCGGAUUCAUUGGGCGUAAAGGGUGCGUAGGCGGCGCGGUAAGUCGGGUGUGAAAUCUUGGAGCUUAACUCCGAAACUGCAUUCGAUACUGCCGUGCUUGAGGACUGGAGAGGAGACUGGAAUUUACGGUGUAGCGGUGAAAUGCGUAGAUAUCGUAAGGAAGACCAGUGGCGAAGGCGGGGUCUCUGGACAGUUCCUGACACUGGAGGCAACGGAAGGCCAGGGGGAGCAAAACGGG